CUACGGGGGGCUGCAGUGGGGAAUAUUGCACAAUGGAGGAAACUCUGAUGUAGCAACGCCGCGUGGAGGAUGACACUUUUCGGAGCGUAAACUCCUUUUAUAUAGGAAGAAGAUGACGGUACUAUAUGAAUAAGCGCCGGCUAACUCCGUGCCAGCAGCCGCGGUAAUACGGAGGGCGCAAGCGUUACUCGGAAUCACUGGGCGUAAAGAGCGUGUAGGCGGAUUAAAAAGUCAGAAGUGAAAUCCUAUAGCUUAACUAUAGAACUGCUUCUGAAACUCUUAAUCUAGAAUAUGGGAGAGGUAGAUGGAAUUUCUGGUGUAGGGGUAAAAUCCGUAGAGAUCGGAAGGAAUACCGAUUGCGAAGGCGAUCUACUAGAACAUUAUUGACGCUGAGACGCGAAAGCGUGGGGAGCAAACAUGAUUAGAUACCCCUGUAGUC
rnacentral:rRNA from 1 species